UCCGAUAAGCUUAUCUUAAUAACGAAAUCUUUGUACGAAAACUUUAUGCCAUGAACAUGUUUUAAAACAUAUACUUAUUCAAUAUUUAAUAUUAAAAAACACUUAUUAUUUGGGGCAUUUAUUUGAACAACAUCUGUUUUGUACUACUGGGUAUACUGUUUAAGAAGGAUACGUGCAGUCAUAUUCAAUGACACUACCAAAUAAGGAACAAGGAUUACACCGAAUUAUGCUUACUCAAGUUGACGAAAGUGCGCAGAGCACAAGAUCAAUUGAAGCUACCAAAAGAUGUAUCCGCAUCACAGUGAUAGCCACACGAAUACUAGCUUUCCUCAGUAUUGUUUUUUCUACCUUGGCCUUUGUUAUGGUGGGCAUUAUUUUUGGAUUCUUCAUGAUGGCCACAGCAACUUUUAGUGUUUUAAGCCCGUUAAAUUUCAGCUGUUUCUGCUAUCGAGAUUGUUCCAGAUACACAAAGAUUGAGAAAGCAAUCGGACAUUGGAGUGUCUAUUUGUGGAUGUUCAUCAGCAACAUGUGCUACGCCAUCAUGUUUGGGUACAGCUGGUAUAUUUGGGCAGAAUUAAGAGAAUACUACUAUAAUGACGUGCAUAACUAUUACUUCUUUAACGUCGACGAAUACAACAGCAUGGCUUUAUUGGACACAGUAUUUGCAUUUACGCUGAUCAUUACGUUCUUCCUUUCGAUGUUGAACCUUUACUCAUUUAGUCUUGUCUACAAGUACGGCUGUUGCUUCAUGAAUGAAGUCGAUAGGGACCACUCUCAGCAAAGCGUUGAAACGGCGGUCGUGAUGAAUAAAGAGAUAUCUACAAUCGGAGGCGGUCUUCCGGUUAACGUUAGCGUGUGGUUUAAUGUUAAUAAACUGAUUGCUUUUGUUUCGGUCUGGACAAAGUAAUUAAAAUACAUAUAUGGUUUCUGCUCAAUAACACAAAACCUUCUUAGAAAAAGGGUUUGCAGUUCAUAGAUACUACAGUGGGUUCUCAGCAACCGUCUACUUACCCUGAGACACAGUAGCCUCAAUACCAGCCGUAUCCUGCCGGACCUUCUCAGCAAGUUAUUGGUGUUACAAGUGACUCGGCAGGCUCGACUUGGCGGCAACGAGUGGUCAGCCUGUCUGUCUUCUACCAUACGCUGAUGCCACUCCAAAUGUGAAACCAAAUUACAGUGAUCGAAUCAAAAACAUGUUAUUGCCAAACAUAUUAGUGAACAGAUAUAUUUCACCAACAUGCAUAAAAACGCAUUUGUCGUAAGUAUUUCACAAGUGAAAAAGCAACAACUGUAAACAUAAUUGGAUUCUUGAUAGUAUUGUUCAUCCCGAUUUUAAUGGUGAUGUUUUAAAGAAAAUUCGUAAAAUUAAAAUGGUUCCAGCAGGUAGUUGGGCAGAUAGACUCAAUGAAUUACUUGGAUUUUAUUUAAACCGUGGAUAUAAAGGCAAACUUUUGAAGAGCACUUGCCUUCUAGUUAUUGAAGAUGAAUUCCUGAAACAAAAUAUAGGGUUGAAUAUAGCAUCCUUACAUAACUAAGCUUUCAGUACUUUGAUUUAAUGAUGAUUGUGCUUUUUUGGCUAAAACAUUUUUGGCUGACUCGGAGUGUUUUUGCAUGUGACUUCAUUUUCUUCAAAUAUUUUACAUUUUCAAAUCAUUUGGAAAGAAAAAUUAGCUAAUAAAUGUCGCUUUUUUAUUUAAUAAUGUUUUCUUUAUUUGUUCCAAGUUUUAGUACAAUGGUGCUUUUAUUAUGCAACUCUAUGAUCACACAGUUUUAAACCUUUUAUUUUAUAAGGCAGACUGUGUGUGAUGCUCAUUGUUUCAAACAAUGUCUGCAUCGUAUCUUUGAAAAGUUUUUUGCAUUAGGUACUCUGAAUUGUAUUCCACCGUCUGCAGAUAGAGUUGAGAUCUCUAAUGACAGAAGUAUUUGGGGUUUACCUAAAAUUUUAUUAUCAUUUGUUUAAUCGUUAAGUUUCCUCAAGUGAAUGCAUACUUUGAUAAGAUUUACCUUUUGCGUUUUAUCUUUAUUUAGGAUUGUUGGGAUAAGAGUGAAAUUUGUGCACUUAAACUGGUUUAAACCCCCAGUAAAUUAACAUUUUACUGACCGUUCCAAGGCGGUAUCUAACAAUCCUUGAUAAACACCCCUAGUUAUUGUUAUUUUUAUAGAGAAUAUAUGUACUGAAUUGGUUGUUGAGUUUUUUUUUGCUGUUGUUCCAUCUUUCUCGUUAAUUUAUGAUUUUUUGUUUUUGCAUUCAGAUAGAGACAAACAUUAUGCGCCUACAA